UGGCUGGCUUUGCAGCAUGGGCUGUUAGCCAUUGGUAUUUGAGGGUUUAAAAAACCAGUCAUUUCCUCCAGUGUCAAAUAAAAGAAAAUUCUAGACAGUGAUGUAAACAUGGACAUGAAGGGAAGGAGUUUGAACUCUACAGGAGAAAGAAAUUAUAGAUGUAACUGACAACUCCAUAGAAUGUAGGUGGAAACAAAGUUGUAGAAGGUGAAUCAAAUGGGUAGUGUUAUCUGACUUCAGUUUCUGAUCUCCAGAUCCAAAUUUGUCAGUCAUCGAAGCUUGAUUUUCAGACCUUACUGUCUGUUUGAGACAAUGAAGAAGAAAUUUUUGGCUGACUGGUCAGUGAAGACAAUUGGAUUAAUCAAGACAGAGUGAGAGCAUGAGCGGGAGCGGCAGAAGGAGAGAGAGAACCUCAAGCAGACUUCACAUUGAACUUGGAGCCUGACAUGGGGCUUGAUCUCACCAACCCAAGAUCAAGACCUGAGCUGAAAUCGAGAGUUGGACACUCAACUGACUGAGCCAUCCAGGAGCUGUAGAUGAGGAAUUACUGAAGAGAGAACCCAGUGCUUAGAAUGUCCAAGCAAAACCAUCAGCUAACUACAAUAUCGUCAAGUGUUUGCUGCGUUAACCAACAUACAUGGCACAUACCUCUCAAUGGUGUAACUUGCAGCAAGGACGCUCAUCUCUCAGUGCUGAGGACAUAGGCUCCUCAACUGCUCCUUGCCAUGUGGUCUUGGCUUCUGAAGUGUGUUAGAAUGCAGAAUGUGGAAACGUCUUAUGGAGUGGUGCACCCAAAACACAGGGGAGAACCAGACGUUGGGGGAGAAGCAGACAUUGAUUGUGAUCUAGUGAGAUCUGGGAAGGCUUCCUGGAAAGUUUGCCAUUUGCGCUGGACCUUCAAGAACGUGUGGAUUUCUGGAGGUUUCUGGUCUGUGGGGCACCUGGCUUGCUCAGUUGGUGGAGCGCAUGACUCUGGAUCUUGGGGUCGUGAGUUCGAGCCCCAUGUUGGGUGUGGAGAUGACUUAAAAAAAUUCAGAUCUGAUAAUUGAUCAAGGAAAGAAUGUUAAAAAGAGUGCCCCUUCACUGACAAGAAAGGCGUUAUCAUUUUUAUUACCUGUGGGCUGUUCAUAGAAUCUCUGUAUUAUGGUUAAUGAUAGCAUCUCCUUCAUGGGUGAUGGUUUGUGAAACCAGCAGUUAUCGGAGAUAAACACUGAAGAGUCUGAUUUACUUGUUCAUGAGCAUACCAUAAAAUCUUCAGUUAAAUCACA